rnacentral:ncRNA from 2 species
CGUUUCCUUGCUGGAGAGAGAUGGACCGCCGGGCACACCAUACCCACCGCGGCACCCAUCCACCGAAGGAGCAAGCCGCACGGCCAGCCAGGGCGCUGCGGUGAAUCUCUCAGGUAAAGCGGACAGCAGGGCAAAU